GUAAGAAAUGGUGUGUAGGAAAAUGACCUAUGAAUUGACAGACAUUAUAUUUAAAGUUUGUCUGUCAUUUCUGUAGGCCAAUGCCUUGUAUGUCUGUGCUGCU
ensembl:miRNA mdo-mir-215 mdo-mir-215